GUGUUUAUAAAAACAUACAUCUUUCAUAAACUAUGUUAAAGGUAUUUUUAAGAAUAAUACAUAGUUGUUAACUUACUGACAUGAUUGCAUAGCUAGAACGACAUUGACAGUGUUUUGAGGUUCUUCUGGUCCUGGGCCUCAUCUUUUAAAUAUUUAAUUUUUACAUGUACACUCAAUUUAAGUGAAUGAAUCAAAAGUUGUUGGGCUGCAGUAAAGAUUACAAAGACAACGAAGACGAGUAUCUGAUCCACAACCGACAACAUCUAAGUGAUUAACAUACGAUAACUUUUGAACCACAAUAUAGGUCGAAAACUGUUCGCAUAACAGUAUGCACACAUUUUCACAAAGCGCCACAAUUCACUUUGAACUAUAAAUAAGUAUGGCCGGUUUAACAGGUUUAGAAGACGCUACUGAAAAUCUCAAUAUCGGUCCUUUGGUAUCUUUAAACGAUUUUAAAGAGUGUUUUGCUCAUGACGGAAAGUAUGGAGAUAAUGCCCAGAACAAAUGGAAAUCAAAGACAAUACUAAUUUACAAACUUGGAGACAAUCCCUUUAGAAAACUCGAGAACGUACCCAAUAUGUUUGGUCAAGUCGUUUCACCCGGUAAACACGCCGAGAUUGUAUUAAUCGAAAAAAUACAGACUGAGAUAGAAAACAGGCGGAUGCGUUCUCAACAUCCCAUUCACGUUAAAGUCGAGAUCUACAUCAGCUACUCACCGUGUCACGAUUGUUCAAAUACAAUAGUAAAUUUCAUAGAAAAAUGUAACCGUGAAUGGUGCAUUUUUGACAUCAAGAUGAAUUUCAGUAACUUUUACAAACAUUAUGAAUGCCUUCGGAAUAGUGCAGGCCAACAUGUACCCGUACAUAAUGAAGGUCUCCGUAAACUUCUACUGAAACGCGUAAUGUUACAGCCAGUAACUGGAAAAGAAAAGUGGGAGAACUUCCUGUCGGCAAACGGUGUUCCGGUGCAGAAACAAGCUGAUAGGUUAGCUAUUGCUUCCUCACAGGAAAGGAUAACAAGAGAAGUAGAUGACAAUAACCUUUUCUUAAAGAUUUACAACAGCGUGUUUCAUUGAACAUGUGUUCGACGAAACAAGAGAUGUCUGAGUGAACGUUACCUUUUUGCAGUGAUUAACUCACGGUGGAUGAAAAGGAAACAAUCCGAGCACAGACUUUUACAACACAAUGACUGUUAAAUCCUUACUGACCAUCAGUAUAGUUUAUAUUUAUCUUGUUAUAUGUACGUACAUAAUUAUUAACUGUAUGAAAUGUAUUAUUAGUUGUAAUUUUAUAUUAAAAUUUAUUUGCUAUCAUUUUAAAAUGUUAACUUCUGUUGUUAAAUCAUAGGAAAGGGACGCAGAAAUAUUCAAUAUCACAUACGUGAAAUAUGAUGUAUAUAAACUGGUUUCGAUGUGAUAUAUAAACAAUUCUUAAAUGUG